AUUGAACGCUGGCGGCAGGCUUAACACAUGCAAGUCGAGCGAGUGGCGGACGGGUGAGUAAUGUCUGGGAAACUGCCCGAUGGCGGGGGAUAACUACUGGAAACGGUAGCUAAUCCCGCAUACUAUCAGAUGUGCCCAGAUGGGAUUAGCUAGUUGGUGGGGUAAUGGCUCACCUAGGCCACGAUCCGUAGCUGGUCUGAGAGGAUGACCAGCCACACUGGAACUGAUACACGGCCCAGACUCCUACGGGAGGCAGCAGUGGGGAAUUUUGCACAAUGGGGGCAAGCCUGAUGCAGCCAUGCCGCGUGUUUGAAGAAGGCCUUCGGGUUGUAAAGUACUUUCAGCGGGGAGGCGGUACUCGCAGAAGAAGCACCGGCUAACUCCGUGCCAGCAGCCGCGGUAAUAC
rnacentral:rRNA from 1 species